rnacentral:rRNA from 1 species
AACGCUGGCGGCAUGCCUAAUACAUGCAAGUCGAGCGGACUUGAAGAGAAGCUUGCUUCUCUGAUNGUUAGCGGCGGACGGGUGAGUAACACGUAGGCAACCUGCCCUCAAGUUUGGGACAACUACCGGAAACGGUAGCUAAUACCGAAUAGUUGUUUUCUUCUCCUGAAGAGAACUGGAAAGACGGAGCAAUCUGUCACUUGGGGAUGGGCCUGCGGCGCAUUAGCUAGUUGGUGGGGUAACGGCUCACCAAGGCGACGAUGCGUAGCCGACCUGAGAGGGUGAUCGGCCACACUGGGACUGAGACACGGCCCAGACUCCUACGGGAGGCAGCAGUAGGGAAUCUUCCGCAAUGGGCGAAAGCCUGACGGAGCAAUGCCGCGUGAGUGAUGAANG